rnacentral:rRNA from 1 species
GACGAACGCUGGCGGCGUGCCUAAUACAUGCAAGUCGAGCGGACUGAUUAAGAGCUUGCUCUUAUGACGUUAGCGGCGGACGGGUGAGUAACACGUGGGCAACCUGCCCUGUAGAUCGGGAUAACACCGAGAAAUCGGUGCUAAUACCGGGUAAUAUCUGAGAUCACAUGAUCUUAGGUUAAAAGAUGGCUCCGGCUAUCACUACAGGAUGGGCCCGCGGCGCAUUAGCUAGUUGGUAAGGUAAUGGCUUACCAAGGCGACGAUGCGUAGCCGACCUGAGAGGGUGAUCGGCCACACUGGGACUGAGACACGGCCCAGACUCCUACGGGAGGCAGCAGUAGGGAAUCUUCCGCAAGGGACGAAAGUCUGACGGAGCAACGCCGCGUGAGUGAUGAAGGGUUUCGGCUCGUAAAGCUCUGUUGUUAGGGAAGAAACAGUACCGAACGAACUAGGUCGGUACCUUGACGGUACCUAACCAGAAAGCCACGGCUAACUACGUG